UUUAUGGAGAGUUUGAUCCUGGCUCAGAACGAACGCUGGCGGCGUGCCUGAGACAUGCAAGUCGUGGGAGAAUGUCGUAGCAAUACGGCUAGUAAACCGGCGUACGGGUGAGUAACACGUGGAUAACGUGCCUUGGAGUCUGGGAUAACCCGUCGAAAGACGGGCUAAUACCAGGUAAGACCACGGGAAGUUCGCUUCCUGAGGUAAAAGGUGGCCUCUGCUCCUGCAAGCUAUCGCUCCUCGAGCGGUCCGCGGCCUAUCAGCUAGUUGGUGAGGUAACGGCUCACCAAGGCUAAGACGGGUAGCUGGUCUGAGAGGAUGGUCAGCCACACUGGGACUGAGACACGGCCCAGAGUCCUACGGGAUGCAGCAGUCAGGAAUAUUGCGCAAUGGAGG
rnacentral:rRNA from 1 species